rnacentral:misc_RNA from 1 species
GAGUCGGGGUCCACCAGGGCCCAAACUCCCACCCUUUGUCGUCGCGAAUUCGUUGCCUCGGCGGGCAGGCGGCCCUCAGAAGCCGCCCCCGGGCUCCGGCCCACCCGCCGCGGGACCAACCCAACCCUGCUUUAACAAUGAAGUCGGAGCGAUUUAAACAAAUGAAUCAAAACUUUCAACAACGGAUCUCUUGGUUCU